AGACACCAAAAAGAUGGGAGGGCCUUGGAUUCCACAUAAUCUAAGAAAUACGCCCUCUGUAGUCCUCAAACAUGUUUUGCAAGUGUUUGGCCAUUUUUUCAUAAGGGAGUUUUUCUAGUAAUUGGAAAAUCUAUAUGAGGAAUUGCUUCCAGUUAUUCAGCAAGUCAUUUGCUCAACAAAUGAACACAUGCAAUGUACUGUGUACUGUUGACAGUACAGCACAAGGAUCCAGGGAUGACUAAGGCUCCUCCCCUACCAUAGAAAAUCCCAGAGACCAGUAGAGGAGACAAGUGCUUGAAACAAAUGACAAAAGCUACUGUGUUAAGUAGUGAAUCUCCUCUUUUCCUCAGGCCCACUUUGGCCUCUGACAGCACAGGGUUGAUGAGUCAGCCUCUUUUCAUGUGAAAACAUCUGUCUGGUCCCCCCAAAGACUUCUCUAAACAUUCUUCUGAUAUGAGGGAACUCUUCCCAGGAGCAACCUCAUUUGCUGGGAGAUGUGGUUUCCAUAAGGAUAUGAAACUAUUUCAGUAUCCUGUCCUGCCAUAUGGUCACACUUAUCUGGUGACAUUCUGGACUCAGCACAAUAGAUGUGCCCUCACAUUGAACAGCAUUCCAGUCUUAAUCCUUACAGACUUUCGGAGGAACUCCCUCACAUCACCCACAGUAGAAAUAACAUGAGAAAGCACACAGUCAUCUCUUGCAUCCAUGUCCUAUCCAUGCUUUUGCAUUGCUGACAAGUGACGGGUGGGCUCUGACAUCAGGAGAUGCAAAUGGCUGAUGAUUCAGACGGUUGUUUGGUAAGUAAACCUGGGUAAACCCUCAAAAUGCAAUGUUUAUUUUUUCUCCUGACCACAAUAAUCUGAAAAUACCCUCAAAUUGUAAGAAUCAUUAUAAAACAGCCUUUUUCUGGCUCACUACCCACAUACCAGAAUUGGGAUAACUCUACUGAAAACUUGCCUACCCUGAUAGGAAUGGAAUAUUUCUGACAAGCUUACACAUGUUCACCUCUUUCUAGCAUCACCUUCAUUGCUAUCAUGUCUACUAUAAUUAUCAUGCAUUGGCAGCCAUGAGGAAUAUUUUGCAUAUAUUAUAUAAAUUAAUCUCCCAAUAACAUUCAAGGCAGAUACUAUGAAAAUUUCCACUUCACUGAUGAAUAAACUGCCCACUGCCACAGAGUAAGUACACAGCAUAGUCCUUAUUUUAAAAACUUUUCAUCACAGAAAACAUCUUCUCCUCCUUUCUCCAGUGACCCUCUGUGUGAACUCCUACUCAAUUUCUAGCUACGUGGGUUCCCUGGUCAUUUCAGGGAUGUUUCCUUCUGAAAUAGCUUCCGGGUUUAUAGGUUCUCCUUAUCUCUGUUCUUCAGUGUCUUCAAGUGGUUAUAUAACUAAUGAGGGAACUCACCCCAAAUGCCCUUGUCACAUGCUAUUGGGAAACAUACUUAAAGCAGGGAUGUCCAGUGUUGUCCUUGAUUACAGAGAUUGAUGGGAAUUUGUUUCACAAGAAGUUGUUUUCUUACAGUAUAUUGUUAAAAGCUCCCAGGGCCAGGAGUGGCAAAAAUGCCAUUUAAAUGACUCGCCAUGCUUGUUUUAUUCAAAAUGGCUACCCCUUUAUCCAGAAAAUCACUUUUUUUGGAUCAAACAUCAUUCUUCAGCUCCCUUCCAUUCUUUCACUUAUUCAGUCAUUUAUUUCUAACAUACUUAUUGUGUGUAUUCUAUGAGUCAGGACCUCUUCUGGGUGUUGGGUGAACACCACCACAUUAUACUAAUUAGUGUCUACACUAACAAAGUAGACAUCACUGAAGACCUCAGUGAAUUUGGUAUUUAGUAAGGAACCAACAGACAAGUUUAAACCUGAAACAGAAUAAGAUAGUUGCUCUAACAGGGCUAUGGGCCAGAUAGGGGAGAGAAUCAUCAGAUAGGUUGGAAACCCACCCAUGAGGCUCCUUGGCUCACGUCCUGCCUGCCUGGCUGACCCUCCAGGCAUUCCCGGACAUGUCUGAAUAUUCAGGAUGUACACAUUUUGGGCUCCCAUUUUAGGACCCUGUUGGACUUGGAACAUUGCCAGUCUCCUCUUGGUUGGCACUGUGGUCUAAAAGAGGGUAGAAAGAGAGUAAGUUCUACAUGUGGCAGAAUAGAGGUUUCAUCCUCAUCCCCUUUCCCUGCUUCCUGGACACAGUGGUUACUUAUUUACCCCUUAUCUUUUGGAGCUGGGAUCAAUGCUAAGCUAGAAUUAGAGAACAGUAUCACUGGAAAAACAAAACAAAACAAAAAAAAAAAACAGGAAAAAAGAAGGCUGCAACGCUGUUAGAAUAAAAUACAGGGAAAGUAUAGUCUAGGAAGAGGCAAGUGUUAGCUGGUAAACGAUUUUUUAGUCUGUUGAGAUAUGUCAGCGUGAGAUUAGUGAAGAAAGUGCAUUUUCCUUCACCACCUUCUCUUAACUAUUGGACCAGGGUGACUUAAAUCUUCUAAGUGCCUUACCUGGCCUCUAGUCUUCCUGAUGCAAUAGUCCUUAGAAUGGAAAAUGGUGAUAACAAUAGCUAUUUUUUAAUUUUAUGCUUUAUUAAGCACUUAUUACGCUCCAGACUAUACUAAGCAUUUUGCCUGUAUUAUUUCAUUAUAGCCUCAAAAUCACACUGUGGAGAAGGUACUAUUAGCAUCCCCAUUUUAUAGGGCAGUGGAGACAUAGAAAAGAAAAGCAACUUGCCCAAGGCCCAAUGUGAGUAAAAGGUGAAAUGAGAAUUUUAUUCCAGGCACUUGGAAUCUAGAGCUCCACACUCCACUGAACGAAUGUAUUCUGUAUUCUCGAUUAUCUCAUUUUACUUUUAAAUUUCUGGUAAUAAACUAUACUAUAGUUUUAUGCUCCUGUAAGGUAUCAACUAAAGUGUUAAAUAGAAGCAAGGUAUCAAGAUUGAGGCCUUCCAUCAUGAGACAUUAUUGAAGGUGCAUCUUCAAAAGUUUUUGCUUUGGGGAAAACUUUAGUAAUUACAGUACAAGACAAAUAAUUUAAAACCCCAAAAGCUGUGGAUAUGUAAGUGUUGAGCUUUAUUUCUUGUAUUUAGGAUGGAGCUUCAUUCCAGUGUGAGAAUUUAUGCCUUGGUGCGCUGACCACUCCAUAAAUCUAAAUAAAGCCUCACAAUGUUCCAUGUACUAUGACAGGUGGGGGAUGCAGAGAAUAGUGAGUAGGAGCAUAAAAUCUGGAGCAGAAAUGGCUGCAUCUGAAUCCUGGUACUACUACUGGGUAAGACUGGGAAACACACUUUCAUGUUCCUUGCUGUCAAAUGGAGGUAAGAUGGCACUUGUAGGGUUGUAGUGAAGGAGAAUUAAGAACAAUGUUAUCUUCCACAAUUAUUAGACAUAGUUUAAUUACCAGGACAUAGUGCCUGCUAUUAAACUGGACAUGAAUGUGAACAGGUGGAUACCCAGAUAUAGGUGUGAAAAGAGAACAGGGCUUUGACACAGCCAGUGGCCAGAUUUAAGGAAAGGUGUCAGAGACAGUGGGGUGUAAAGCUGAAUUCUCAAAGAUCCACAGGUGUGUCCCUGAUUAGCAAGGCAAAAGGAGGCAUUGCUGGUGAAGGGAACAGCCAUGAAAAUGGAAAUGGCAAGAGUGAGGCCAAGCAGUCAGUCUUAGGGAACUGCAAAUUAAGAACUAUGCCUGGAUUUAGGAUUCUAAUGGGGGCAUUGUUAGAGUUUGAGUCUAGAGAGAAAGGAAAGCAUUUAGAUCUCAUUAAGGAGUUCAGACUUUAUGCUAUGGGCGAUAGGAAUCCAUGGAAAAUCCUUGUUUCAUUUGUUUCUGUUUUUUGUUCACUUCUUCUUCUUUUUUUUUUUUGACAGAAUCUCGUUCCUUUGCCCAGGCUGGAGUUCAGUGGUGCUAUCUUGGCUCAGUGCAACCUCUGCCUCCCAGGUUCAAGUGAUACUCCUGCCUCAGCCUCUUGAGUAGCUAAGACUACAGGUGCACGCUACCACACCUGGCUAAUUUUUGUAUUUUCAGUAGAGAUGGGGUUUCACCAUGUUGGCCAGGUUGAUCUCGAACUUCUGACCUCAAGCGAUACACCUGCCUCAUCCUCCCAAAGUGCUGGGAUUACAGGUGUCAGUCACCAUGCCAGGCCUCACUUCAUUGUUUUUUAACUUUUAUUUUUUUAAAUCAAAAAGAGCUUUUGAAAAUUUCCUUCCAAGUAGUGAAAUAUUGUGUAAACAUUAACUUAUGGACAAAUUGCAAGUCAUAUUUUAAAAUUACCUAAAAUCCCACAACCCAGAGGAAACACGCACUGACAUUUUCCUGAACAUCUUAGAACACACAUAUAUGAUUUUAGUGAACUG
rnacentral:lncRNA from 10 species